UGGUUAGUGUAUUUCAGUUCAUUAAAGCUACACUAUGAUUAAUAAAAGGUUAAUAGAUACAGUAAGUUGAUGGAAAUGGAGGCCAAAAACCUGCAGACAAAUCUACAAUGCCACCUAAAAGCUGCAGCUAUCUUUAGUGCAGAAGUGUGGAGCGAACUAUAGAAUGAUCACACUGUUACAGAACAAUGGUUUAUCUAGCUCAGUCUUCUGACAUUGGCUAAUGCCAGGUGCUUCAGAGGGAAUGAACAGAACAUCAAAUGACCCAUUCCCUGUUGUCCACUCUCAGCAUUGGGCAGUCAGAGGUGAGACAUCCAGAGCAUAUUAAACAGAUGGUUUUGGAAAAUUAUCCACAACGACUCCAAGAUCUCUUUCUCGAAUGUACUUCAGAAUGGAUUCCUUGAGGAUCCCCUCCAUGGUUUUCCUGGGGACUGAGCACCACUGCAAUCUCUGAUAUAGUUUCCCUAUCUUAUCAUUGAUAAAGAUACUGAAUAGCUUUGGGCCAAGAAGAGAUUCCUUAAGAAUCCCACUAGCAACAUUCCCAUUGGUGAAUGUUUCCCCAUUUCUGAUUACUUUUGCAAACAGUUAAGCCAUUUUUAAUCUAUA